AUGGUUGCUCCUCCGCCCAAGCCCGAGCACUCCGUCCCCCCUAAUUGGCAUCGCACCGCGUACAGACUCCACAACCGCGUCGUCCGGGAUACCAGCAACCGCAAGCCCGCCCCCAGUCGCUACGACAACGGGAUAGAAAUUAAGCAUGAUCCAACAUGGCAAACUCCGACGUGUGCACGUGUGGCUUUGGAACACUACAACAACAUGAAUCAGGGGGAUGAGCAUGAGAUGGUUAAACCAGUGAGCAGCCAUGUCUUUGUCUUCAAUGGUAUCUGGUUCCAUGCAAAUUUCCUUGCCAAGCGAAAAGGAGCCACCAACUUUGUUGAUCUCGUCCCCAAGUACUUCUUUGCUGAAUCGGAAAUUGUGGGGACGAGGAAAAUAUCUUGUAUUUCAUGUGUUAAGCUUGACCCAGGCAAUCCCAAAAACAUUGGUGGUUGUAGCCUGUGCUCUGAGAAUAUCCUGCAUCCUGCUGGGGGUGGAUACCACGGUGCCCAACCUCGAUCUGUUCGACAUGCUCCUGGUGGCCUACAGAUUUCAUUCAAGUUCUGA
rnacentral:rRNA from 1 species